GAGUGCAUCGCUGUGGUGUCAGCUGUCCUCCUUCAAGUGUGUGUGUGUGUGUGGUAGCUCUUGCACAUGUGGUGGUGUGUGUGUGUGUUAGAGCACUGUGCGGCCUGGGACAGUGUUUGUGUCUGGGUGCCUGUGCACUAGGAGAGCUUGAGGAAGGCAGCUGGCUUUCCAUAACUGCCUAGCAGAGUAGUCAGGUGGGGAGACUGGGGCGGGCUGCUGGGGAGGUUGGCCUCAGCAGGGAGGCCCCUGGAGCAUGCAUAGUCAUAGGUGAGAGCAUCCUUCCCCACCCCCUUCCCCCUGCCAGGUUGCCUGCAAAUCAGGGCUUCCCCUGUGACCCACUCUCCCUGCUUCCAAAAGGGCAUCUGCUAGUUGACUGUCCCUUCUUAGUGGGGAAGCCCAGUGGGUCAGGUUCACCCUCUUAGUGACAUUUUUGUUUUUCCUAUGAGGUCUCCACGGGGAACAACUUCGUCUCUCUGAAGUCAACUCAUGAAAGUUCUACUUGAUCCAUUUCUGCAAACAUCUGCUGUUCCCUACCUCCAGGGUCACACGAGGCAGGGGAAAAGAAGUGCAAUUUAUAGUGUGGCUUGACAUUUAAAUCAGAAGUUUCGUCUCAACACACCUGCCCAAUAGAAGGGUGAAUGACCUGUGGAAACCUCUGGACCCAGGAGGCUGGGCUGCAACUUUGGGAUGACUUGGAGCCCAGUCCACCAGGAGGAAAAUGCUUCCCGUAAGGGGUCCUGACACCUGCAGAGGGGGCUUUGCCAUGAUUUCUUCUGGUUAUUUCUGUAAGGAUGGCCAGAUGUGGAUCCCUGUGUUGUCCCACAGUGGCUGGAAUCUCAAGUCUCUCGAAGUCUUCUGCCUGCCUUCGCAUUCCAACCCCACCGAUCCUCCAGAGCACCAUGUAAGAACACCAACCAGCCGAGAAAACUGGAACGAAGAGGAGAAGCUGUGAUGCAGGAACAUCUAGCGUAAAGCUGAGAACGGCUGGAUGUGGAUCCCUGUGUUGUCCCACAAGUGGCUGGAAUCUCAAGUGUCUUGAAGUCUUCCGCCUGUCUUCGCUUUCCAACCCCACCGAUCCUCCAGAGCGCACCACGUGUACGACGGCAGCUCCCGUGACUGUGGCUGAAGUUCUGCUGGCACCUUCCUGCCCCAGUGCUCAGGGUGCCCUGGGGUGCCCUGGAUGGGCUUCUUCAAUCCCUUGUGAGAGGCAUCUUGAGGGAUUGUGAGCCCAUAGGUCUGUGCAGGUCUCCAGGUAGCUCAGGAGUCCAUGGACUAUUGACGACAAAGGAUCAGGGUCCCUAAAAUUCUACAGGAAGGGCAGGAAGAGCCGCUGGUAGGGAAGAUGCCAGAUGCUUUUGGAAGGACGCACAGAGACAGACCCAGGACGGCAGGGAGGCCCGCCUGCUCUGACAUUCCCGUGGCUGGGGCCUUGGAGGGGUCGGUCUGACCCCUUAGAUCUCAGUUACUGAUUGACAGAAUAAAUGGAGUGCCUUCUAUGUGCUCUUCUUCUUAAGUGUCUUUCACAGAACACUGGUUCUUCACAAACACUGGUUCUGUUUAACUUUAAACAAAAUUAAUUGCCCUCACAAAGUCAAACGGUUUAUACUAAA